rnacentral:rRNA from 1 species
UUGAACGCUGGCGGCAUGCCUAACACAUGCAGGUCGAACGGUAGCAGGUCCUUCGGGAUGCUGACGAGUGGCGGACGGGUGCGUAACGUGUGUGAAUCUGCCCAAUAGUGGGGGAUAACCCGGGGAAACCCGGGCUAAUACCGCAUACUCCCUACGGGGGAAAGCGGGGGACCGCAAGGCCUCGCGCUAUUGGAUGAGCCCGCGUCCGAUUAGCUUGUUGGUGGGGUAAAAGCCUACCAAGGCGACGAUCGGUAGCUGGUCUGAGAGGACGACCAGCCACACUGGGACUGAGACACGGCCCAGACUCCUACGGGAGGCAGCAGUGGGGAAUAUUGGACAAUGGGGGAAACCCUGAUCCAGCAAUGCCGCGUGUGUGAAGAAGGCCUGCGGGUUGUAAAGCACUUUCGGCAGGAAAGAAAAGCCAUGCGCUAAUACCGCAUGACCUUGACGUUACCUGCAAAAGAAGCACCGGCUAACUCCGU